UACGGAGGGUGCGAGCGUUGUCCGGAAUCAUUGGGCGUAAAGGGCGCGUAGGUGGCCCGGUCAGCGUGCGGUGAAAGCUCGGGGCUCAACCCCGAGUCGGCCGUGCGAACUGCUGGGCUUGAGCACUGUAGAGGCAGGCGGAAUUCCGGGUGUAGCGGUGGAAUGCGUAGAGAUCCGGAAGAACACCGGUGGCGAAGGCGGCCUGCUGGGCAGUUGCUGACACUGAGGCGCGACAGCGUGGGGAGCAAACAGG
rnacentral:rRNA from 1 species